rnacentral:lncRNA from 1 species
UUAGACAUUCGGAUUAUAAACCCUUCAUAAGUGAAAAACUGUGUCUAUUGAGUGUCCAAGUGCCUAAGCUAGCAUCCUGCGCAGCCGGAUGCAAGAGAUGCCGCACGCGUUGGAUCAGGCCUGUGAGAAUCGACAGCGAAACGUCAUCAUCAUCGAUGGUAUUCUUUAAGCAGUUACUGGCUGCAGGACACUGUGCUAAGCGCGCUUGGGAGAGUACACCACAAUGAGAUCGAUAGUCACAACAGGCGUGAAUCAGAUGAAAGGAUUUCUG